UACGAAGGGGGCUAGCGUUGCUCGGAAUUACUGGGCGUAAAGCGCACGUAGGCGGCUUUCUAAGUCGGGGGUGAAAUCCUGGAGCUCAACUCCAGAACUGCCUUCGAUACUGGAAAGCUCGAGUCCGGGAGAGGUGAGUGGAACUGCGAGUGUAGAGGUGAAAUUCGUAGAUAUUCGCAAGAACACCGGUGGCGAAGGCGGCCUUCUGGACAGUGACUGACGCUGAGACGCGAAAGCGUGGGGAGCAAACAGG
rnacentral:rRNA from 1 species